rnacentral:lncRNA from 1 species
CUAACCAUGUUUUUGAUUUUGAGUGACCCACCAAGUAAUUGUCUUUCUAUCAUUUUAUUUUCUUUAGAGUUUAUGUGUGGAAGGAAGGAAGGAAGGAAAGAAGGAAGGAAGGAAGGAAAGGAGGAAGACUGUAUUUUAAAAUAUCAAAAUUGUUCGUUUACUGUUUUCCAGCUAAUAGGAACCUUUGGAUCAACAAGUCUGAAAACACCAGGUGAGUUUCCUUCAAUCCUUAGUGAAAGAACUUUUAAAUACAAGUUUGGACUUCACCAAAAAUAUUUUUGGGAAUGAAC